GACGAACGCUGGCGGCGUGCCUAAUACAUGCAAGUUGAGCGCUGAAGGUUGGUACUUGUACCAACUGGAUGAGCAGCGAACGGGUGAGUAACGCGUGGGGAAUCUGCCUUUGAGCGGGGGACAACAUUUGGAAACGAAUGCUAAUACCGCAUAAAAACUUUAAACACAAGUUUGAAGUUUGAAAGAUGCAAUUGCAGCACUUAAAGAUGAUCCCGCGUUGUAUUAGCUAGUUGGUGAGGUAAAGGCUCACCAAGGCGAUGAUACAUAGCCGACCUGAGAGGGUGACCGGCCACAUUGUGACUGAGAUACGGCCCAGACUCCUACGGGAGGCAGCAGUGGGGAAUAUUGCACAAUGGGCGGAGGCCUGAUGCAGCAACGCCGCGUGCGGGAUGACGGCCGUCGGGUUGUAACCCGCUUGCGCCUGUGACGAAGCGUGAGGGACGGGAAUGGGUAAAGAAGCACCGGCUAACUACGGG
rnacentral:rRNA from 1 species